CACGGGGGGAGCAAGCGUUGUUCGGAAUCACUGGGCGUAAAGGGCGUGUAGGCGGUUCGGUAAGUGGAAUGUGAAAUGCUCCGGCUCACCCGGAGUACUGCAUCCCAAACUGCCGAGCUUGAGUAUGGGAGAGGAUGAGGGAAUUCCUGGUGUAGCGGUGAAAUGCGUACGAUAUCAGGAGGAACACCGGUGGCGAAGGCGGACUCUGGCGCAAUACUGACGCUGAG
rnacentral:rRNA from 1 species